rnacentral:rRNA from 1 species
GAUGAACGCUGGCGGCGUGCCUAAUACAUGCAAGUCGAGCGAACGGACGAGAAGCUUGCUUCUCUGAUGUUAGCGGCGGACGGGUGAGUAACACGUGGAUAACCUACCUAUAAGACUGGGAUAACUUCGGGAAACCGUAGCUAAUACCGGAUAAUAUUUUGAACCGCAUGGUUCAAAAGUGAAAGACGGUCUUGCUGUCACUUAUAGAUGGAUCCGCGCUGCAUUAGCUAGUUGGUAAGUUAACGGCUUACCAAGGCAACGAUGCAUAGCCGACCUGAGAGGGUGGUCGGCCACACGGGAACUGAGCCACGGUCCAGACUCCUACGGGAGGCAGCAGUAGGGAAUCUUCCGCAAUGGGCGAAAGCCUGACGGAGCAACGCCGCGUGAGUGAUGAAGGUCUUCGGAUCGUAAAACUCUGUUAUUAGGGAAGAACAUAUGUGUAAGUAACUGUGCACAUCUUGACGGUACCUAAUCAGAAAGCCACGGCUAACUACGUG